AUGAUGGAUGAGGAACAAUAUGUAGAAAAGAAGUCAGAUACUUUCUUUAAGAAACACGUGGCUCAGUUUUGGGUGAAACCACCCAGAUGCUAUGAGUGUCCAUUAGUUUUAAAAGAUAAUACCUGUUUCCAAGGCCAGCAUUACUGCCGAACAAGUGGAUUCUGUUACACAAGAAGCUGUUCCAAAGGGAGUCUAAUUAGGAAGAUCAAGCGAGGCUGCACCUGGGACUGCAAGCACUUCAUCAAGUUUCAUAAAGGCAUUACACAGCGUACCUGGUGCUGCAGUGAGGACUACUGCAACAUUCAUGAUGCUUGGCGGGGCAAUCACUAAAUAUCUCCUGGAUUUGUUGGAUAGCCUCAAGUCUGCAGCUUUUGGCUAUGUGCUCAACACUUCCGUAUGAUUUUCCUCCAGCAACAUAUAGAGAGAUGGGUGAUCAAUAAAAUACUUUUGUAAUGUUUAUUGUAUAGGGGU
rnacentral:lncRNA from 1 species